AGGUGAGGUCGCACCAGGAGGAGGCAGUCGAUGAACCUGGGAAAGGGCUCUCGCCACACACCGGUCUGCGGACACCUUGACGGUGGACGUCCAGCUCCCAGAACAAGGAGGCUUUGGAAAGCAGAAGUGUGAACAACCCAAUGCGGACCCCACUCCUUUUCCUUAUUCCCGGAGACAACAGCCCUGACUCCGUUUCGGAAACAUUGAACCUGGUGAAAAGUUUCCCCUCGACAGCGCUGAACAUUAUGUGGGACCCCCCCGGGAACCCCCCAAAGACAACGGAGCUGCCAGAGCGAGGGAGCCCUCAGGGUGACUGACCUCUGGUCUCCAAAGACAUGCAGGCCACACAUCAGGGACACGGAGCACUGCCCUGGUCCCAGGUCUCGGGCAGCAGUGCCGGUUCGGCAGCAUCGGGAACAAAGAUACCGUCAUGACCAGCUGUGGUGCCGCCCGGGCCCUGGGAGUGCCAGGGGGACACUUUGGAAAGUAUAUGAUUGUCUAACCGACAGGUGAUGCACCUGAAAGGAACACAAAGCAGCAUUCGAUGGACUUGCUCUUCCACCCCCUGGCCGCCCGCUGUGGAUGGUGUUUCAGCCCCCAGUGUCGGGGGCGGGGGCAACAGGAACUGGAACCUGCUGUGGGCACCCUCAGGCCCCGGUGCCCCACCUGCCGCCUGGAGAUGGAGCCUCAGAGGGGGCAGGCGUCUGGGGCGGCUGAGCUUCCUGUGCAGCGGAGCGUGUGGCCGACCGAGUGCCCUUUGUGACAUGUAGCUCGUCCUUUGGGGUAAGGGAAGUCGCUGUAAGAGUUCUGGGUUGGCUGCGGCCACAUCAUCAAAAUCAGUCUCGUUGCCCCUUCGUGGCACCUCCUCCUGUGCCUUCCACUGAAGCACAGGCUCCCUCCACCCCCGCCUCACACGGGCUCCUUGGACAGUCUGUCAUUGCUGGGCCGGCGCAGGCGCAGGGCGCUGGGAAAAACUCACCCCACGGCAAGAACCCCCACGUCUGCUGAUGCCGGGAAUUCUGGAAAAGACUUUUUUUUUUAAAUUAAGACGAAAGAGCCGUCCUGCCCUUCAUACAAACCAAGCCCCAUUCUGUUUUCCGCCCGCCCCACGCGGUGCACAGCACCCCACGAUUAGAGGUGGACUCGACCAUGAAACCUCUGCUGUUGGACAGAACAGUCCGGUCACCAGCUGGUGACUUGGAGUCUGCGAGACUGACAGUUUCCGAGAUGGAGGCCGCCUUUCCCGCUUGCUUCCUGCAGAUCCUGUGCAUGGCCCCACGCGGGUCAGCUCCACGCCCCGUCGGAAAGGGAGCCCAGCGCAGGAGGGCGCAGGCUGCUCGCAACCUCCUCCAGGGAACGGCGCCAGCACGUGCACCCGCACGUCUGGCCUCAGGGACAUGGCCCUUCGGACGAAACACUGUGCCAGGCGGUGGGGGCAAGACAGCUCCUGCCGGGGAGCCGGGCGGGGACGGAGCCGGGCGGGGCCCCGGGGCCUGAGGAUGGGGUCUGCAGCUCCCGUGAGCCCACACCUGCCUGGAACUCGGCGGGGGGGAAGCUCAACCUUCUGGACGCUUGGAAGGAGAGGCUCAGCUUCAGGCACGUGGCCGCCAGGCAUCGUGACCAUGAGCGAGGAGAUGCGCAUUUCCUCCGGGUCUACGGCUUUUCUCAAGUGUGGGCCUUCUGGUGUGAAUAUCAGAGGUUGGCGUGGGGAUGGAGGCGGGGGUGCUGGCCGAAGGAUUCCUCCCGUUGGCUGCAUCUGCGGGGCCUCUCUCCAGUGUGUACUGUCUGGAGUUGAAUAAGGACAGGCUGGCCUGAUGGGUUUCCCACAUCAGCCCCGCUCAUGGGCCCGGGGCCGGUGUGAGCACCGCCCAGCUGAGUGAGGCUGGGCUCCCACCAAAGGGCUUGCCCACCACCGCGCCGGCCUCUCUCCAGUGUGAACUCUGGCGUUUAGCGACGCUGCUGCUCGCGGCCUCUCUCCAGUGUGAACUCUGACGUUUAGCGACGCUGCUGCUCGCGGCCUCUCUCCAGUGUGAACUCUGACGUUUAGAGAAGCUGCUGCUCGCGGCCUCUCUCCAGUGUGAACUCUGACGUUUAGCGAAGCUGCUGCUCGCGGCCUCUCUCCAGUGUGAACUCUGACGUUUAGCGAAGCUGCUGCUUGCGGCCUCUCUCCAGUGUGAACUCUGACGUUUAGUGAAGCUGCUGCUGGCGGCCUCUUUCCAGUGUGAACUCUGACGUUUAGUGAGGCUGCUGUUCUGCUGGGGGCUCCCUGCGCUGCCCGCACUGGAGGCCCCGUCUCCCGCCCGUGACUCCUCUGUGCUCGGCGAGGCUGUAGCUUCAGAAGCUUCCCGCGCUCGCACACACGCCGGGCCUUUCUCCGGGGACUUGUGCUGCGCCCUCGCAUCUGCAUUUGCACCCAAAGCUUUUCGCACACAUUCAGGGCACUCGUGCGGUCUCUCUCCAGUGUGACCUCUGGAGCUGAACAAGUGAGUACUUACGGCAGGAGUCUUUCCCUCCUGGCUAGCCUUUGGGUGCUAUUGUUACGGAAUUUUCCCGGCGACCGAACGAUAACGAUAUGCAGGAGCGCCAGGAAAAAGCCAUUUAUUUUCAGGUGUCGCACGUGUCCCGGUCAGUGACUCAGGGCAGACGGCUUCUCUCCAAACCCUGAGCCAACCAAUUCGGAGGAAGCUUUCCCUUUAUACCCUUUGCUUUCUCUGUCCCCCAGAUAUGGGAUGGGACCUCCGGACCUUUCCCGGGCUUUGCAGAAAGCCCCGUGUGUUGGGGUGGGGGCCGGGAGACCAUACCUAGAGGCCUGGCCUGGCGCCAGUGCUGAUAACCCCGUCUGGGGGUUGUGUAUUGUUCAUGGUUUAUGCCGAGGGGGGGCGUUGGUGAGGAGAGCAGGGAGAGAGAGGGUUUUAUUGAUUUUUGCUGGCUGCGGGCGCUCUGCUGACGGAAGGGUCUGGUCCGUCCUUGGUGCCUCCCAUGCCAGGUGUCUUCUGGUUAUUUGAGCUAUGCUGUGCUCAAGGCUGCAAGCUUUCUGCAAGACUCUACUAAGCCAGUGGUCGGCAAACCGCGG